UUCUCAUGGUGUCCAGCAGAUCCUCGUCAGC
rnacentral:piRNA from 1 species